UGACAGAGUGAGGGAAUGACUGGUGACAGAGUGAGAGAGGGGGUGACUAGUGACAGAGCGAGGAAGGGGCUGACACAGUGACCGAGUGAGGAAGGGGUGACUGUCACUAGUCACCCCAUCCCUUCCUCUGUCACUAGUCACUCCCUCCUUAACUCUGUCACUAGUCAUCCCCUCCCUCACUCUGUCACCAGUCACCCUCUCCCUCACUCUGUCA